GCAGAAAUAGCUCAGUUGGGAGAGCGUUAGAUUGAAACUCUGAAGGACCCUGGCUCAAUCCUGGGUUUCGGCA
rnacentral:tRNA from 1 species